rnacentral:lncRNA from 10 species
UAUACACUUUAUAUAUUAUGAAUAUAGUAUAUUAUAUUAAUAUUAUAUUCAAAUAUACUAUAUGACUUAUACUACGUUUAAUACUAUAUUAUUAUGUUUAUAUAUAAAUACUAUAUUUAAUAUAUAAAUAUAUAGUAUGUAUAAAUAUAAUGCUUAUGUAAUAUACAAUAUAUACUUAUGUAUGCUUAUAUGUAAGUAUAGA